rfam:Operophtera brumata OBRT01_Sc16536, whole genome shotgun sequence.
CACAAGGCCCUUUUCAGGGCCACCAAUCUCGAGCAGGUCACUGAAA